CGAAGCGAGAGGAAGCGGGGUCGCCCUUCCCCCCGGGGCGGGUUGUUUCCGCCUGUGCCUGGCGGGCAGGCGGGCAGGACAUCGUUCCUGACUCCUGGAAGCUUCAUACAUGUAUUUUAAUUCAAUGGCUACCUACUCAUUUUUUGAGGUUGAGUUUUUGUGGGGUUUUUUUGGUUUUAUUUUUGGUACCAGGGUUCAAACUCAUGACUGCAUGCUUGCAAGGCAGGUACUUAUGCCACUGAGCUAAAUCUCCUACCUAUCCAUUUGUUAACCUAUACUGUCUUGCUCUCUUAUGUCACUAAGCCAUGUAUUUUUCAUGAAACUAAACUGUUUAUACUUUCCAGACUGUGUAGCAUGUACAUUUAUGAUAUACAGUAUUCACCAUGCCUAAUACAUGAUAGUGUUAUAUACAGAAAAUGUUAAAAAGCCACACAGCACCCAAGCUAUCUGCCACAGAAGAGUUCUUGAUCAGAACGGAAGGACCUUCAAACCUUGGUCUGAAAUUGGGGCAUAGCAGAUAGAUAGUGAGAUAGGCAACUCUGGAUGAUAUGACAGAAAUCUUUGCCUGCACAAAGCAGAGGAAGUUGAGAGAUUCAACAGAUGGCAUCUCAGAGAGUCCUAGAUAGCUGAGCUAUCUGGCCAUAAACUCAAGUACCACACCCAGCCCUGAAAAGGGAGAAGGAGGAAGUUUCAUAAUCAAUUGGGAAGCCCCGAAGACUACAUAUGAAUUUCAAUCUCCCAUCCAUCCUAACGUCCCCCAUGGAGGAUGAGUUCAGCUGCUCUGUUGAGGCACUUAAAAGCCUAGGUGGUGGGGAGAGCUCCAAAGUCUGUGCUUUCUAGCCAUUUGAAGAAGGUUUCCCCUGUUUAGCAUUAAAAACUAUAGUGCUGGUGAUGUAUACUGCUUCAGUAAUCUACAAUUCCUGAGUUGGAUCUCUAGCAUUGCCAAAAAUAAAAGUAAAGCCAAACAAAACCUGUUAAAGCUAUCUUUUAACUCCAAGAAGGAUAAACAUGUAAUGCUCAAGAAUCAGUGGAGAAGGAACUCAUAGUUGUCUAAAUAUGGCAUAUAUGUAAAAGUAACAAUAUAAAAGUAAAAUAUAGUUUAGAUGGUGACAAAUUUUUUCUGUGAAAGGCCAGCAGUCAUUAAUUCUGGUUUUGUAGUCUGUACAUUCUUUUGUCAAAACUAGUCCAGUCCUGCUUCAAUAAUUAAAAAAUGAAUCCUCGGGUGAGGCUUCAUACACUCAAAGCAGAGUAUAUAAAAGUCAGGUAACACCUUUACAAAUCAGAAUGUCAAAGCAAAGAGACUGUAUUAGUGGCAGUCAUGCUUUAUAUGGAAAGAAAACCUAUAGCAAAUAAUAGGUAAAUUAGUAGCAGAUCUUUUGAAAUCAACAGGAAAAUGGUUAAAUUAAAGCCUCAAUUUUCUGACUUUAAAUAAAUUUGAUUGUUAUUGUUUAUUCAAGUGAAAUAUUAUUCUGAAGUUAGGAAACUCCCAGGUUUUAAAGGAGAACAUAAUUAAAAUAAUGUAGUUAAGCAAACAAAGAUUGAAAGUAGGACCAACAAUAAGCACAAGAUUUGGUGGAAAAUGGUGAAUGUGUAUCAUUCAAAAUAAAACAUACUGAAUAUAAAAUUAUAAUGGUAACCAUUAGAAGAGCAGAACAUGUUUCUAAGUUACAAUCUAGUGGGUUAUCAAGAUAAAAUUUAAAUAUUAAAUGUAAGUUAUUAAAUAUAAAAUAAAAUAUUCUAGAUUGGACUUAAUAAUGUAAUUCUAAAAGUGUUCCUUAAGUCACAAGGAAAUAUGCAUCCUGAACACAAAAGUAAGAAAAAUUAUGCAAAGCAAAUAGCAAGUAAUAAUUAGUUUGGGUAGUCAUACACUUAGCUGGUAAAAAAUUUGCAUAUAAAGCAACAGAACAGAAUCAUAAAAGAUAUUAAUAAAAGUGAGAAAGUGGAUGUGCUGAGACAUAGUGCAGUUUUUUAAAUGAUAAUAAUGCUGAUGAAUUAAAAGCUUUGAAGAGAUAAGCAGUUUUGCAGAAAAACAAAUUCAUGGGAAAUGGAAAUACUGAAAUAUUCAUGAUUUUAAACAAUGUGUGUAUUUUAAAAGUUUCUUUUCCCUUCUCAAAAAAUGCAAAAGCAAAACUAAAAAAGCAUAAGGUAAAUAUUUUCACAAAUAAACAACUAAAAAUCCAAGAAAAAUGUAAUCAUGAGGGUAUACAAACACUUCUAGGGAAAAGAAGAAGGGACUGCAAUGGCCAACACAUAACGUAAGAGCAAUAACUUUGAUAACAAAAACAAGCAAGAGCCAUUAGGAAAGAAAAUUUCAGGCCAAAUUUACUCAUGAACCUAUCUGGCAAAAUAACAAAAUACUUCAAAAUGGCAAGUGACAAAAUGCAAAUUACAUCUAAAUUGCUAAAAUGAUUGAAUAUUGCAAAAGCUAUGAACUAAAUACUUUCUGCAUUAUAGCAGGGAAUAAAUAUACAUCUGGCAAUAAAAACUGAAAAAAUCAUUGGUUAAAUUUUAACACUUUAUACAAUUUGUAAAAAGCAAUUUCAGCAACAGAAGACUAUUACUAUAUAAAUGGCCCUCCACAAAGCUAUGACUUAUGAGUAAUGUAUGAGAAGGAUUUCAUUAACAGUUAUAAAGGAAAGAUGGUUGUUACCACCUUUUUGAUUCAAUCGUAUACUAAACAUCCUAAACUAGGAGUUAGAUGAAAAGAAAGAAAAAAUCCUGAAAACGAGAUUUUAGGACAAAAUAAAGAGAAAAGAAGUGCAUAUUCACAACAUUUCAUAUAAGUUUCACAAAAAAUGAGCUAUUAAAUAUUUUAAAAGUGUAUGGUAAAGUUUUGCUGAAAAAUCAUACAUCUAUUAAUGAAAGUAGAGAGAUAAGCUAUAUCCCCUGGACCAAUAUAUCUUGAUUCUUUUCCCCCCACCCCCUCCUCUCCCUUCAGUCCCUCUUCCUCUCCUUAUUUACAAAAGCUUUGUUUCCAUUUUUCUCUUCAAUUCACCCCCCCAUUCACCUUCCAAGCUAAACAUUUUACUUCCUCUUUCCCAGUAUUUGUUAUACAUUUUGGUCCUUAUUUACUCUUUAAGGAUCAAAAUAUAUAACAAUUCAAUAUUUAAAUUUGUGUCUAAUUUAUUUCACUAAAUAGUAUGGUGUCAAGUGCAUCCAUUUAUCCAGAAAUGUCUCAAGUUUAUCUUUGUUUAUGGCAGAGUAGUACUCCAUUGUAUUUUUAAAAAUAGACAUCUUCUGUAUCCAUUCAUCUAUUGAUGGGCAUUGGGGCUGUUUUCAAGACUUAGUUGUUACAGACUUGCUGCUAUAAACAUGGGUGUGCAUUUAUUACUGCAGUAUGAUGUUUUUAAUUCUUUUGGGAAGAUACCAAGAAGAGAAAUAGCUGGGUCAAAUGAAACCUCUGAUUCUAGGAAUUUUGAGAAAUAUCCACACUGAUUUCCACAGUGGUUAAUACUCUCACCAACAGAAGACAAGAGUUUCUCUCCACUGCCCCAACAGCAUUUGGUGUUGGUUGAUAUCUUGAUAACAACCAUUCUUUCUGGAGUGAAAUGGAAUCAGCAUUGUUUUAAUUUGCAUCUCUCGAAUAAAGAGUUAUGUUGAAUAUUGUUUGAUAUUCAACUGAGACAUGUCCAUUCAUUGCAGAUGCCCAUUUUUUAUUGGGUCUUUAGAUUUGGAGAAAUCUGGUUUUGUUAGUUCUUUUUAUAUUCUAGAUAUUAGUCCUUUGUCUGAGGAACAACUGGAAAAAUUUUUCUCACUCUGUGGGUUGUCUUUUCACUCUAUUGGUGGUUUCUUUUGCUGUGCAAAGCUUUAUAAUGAGAUGAGAUCCCAGCUGUUGCUUCUUUCUAAAAUUUUCUGUGUGAUCACGGUUUUAUUCACAAAGUGUUUGCCUACACCAGUGUCUUCAUGGGUUCCAUCUAUUCUAUUAUCCAGCUGAUACAGUGUUUCUGUUUUAAUAUUUAGAUAUUUGAUCCAUUUCAAUUUCAGGUUAGUGCAAGGUGAAGAAAUACUCAGUAUUUUGUUAGAUUAUCUUUUCAGAAAACCUAUAGAUGAACUACAGUCUAGUAAGAUAGUUCAAGGAAUUUGUGGGUUGAUUCUAAAAUUUAUAUAAAAUAAUAAAUGAUCAAGAAUUGUUUAUUUUCAGUAACAACAGCUGACUUGUCCCAGCUCAUAUCUAAACAUACAUGGUUUUCAUAAUUAAUAUAAAAUUGGAUUGGUGCAUGAACAGACAAACUAGUGAAACACAAUAGAGUGUUCUUAACUACCUAUAUAGAUAGGAAAAUUUAUUCAAUGGAAUGAUGGGAUUACAGAUUGUUGGCUAAAGAAUACAUCAUAUAAGUGAAAUAAGCCAGGCACAGAAAGACAAUGCUGUAUGAUUUCAUUUAUACAUGGAAUUUGAAAUACUUAAUUCUCAUUAGAACAGAGUAGAAAGAUGAUUACUAAGGGAUGGGGUUUGCAAGGGAAAGAUGGAGGAAGGGAAGAUGCUAAUCAAAAGAUACAAAGUCUCAGCUUUUAUCUAUUGCACCAAAUACUGACUGUAGUAAAUAAUAAUGUGUGUUUUCAAAUAUCUAAAAGAAUAUAUUGAAAUACAUACAUACUCACACAAAGUAAGUACUCAUCCAAUUGCACUUGCCAGGCAGGUGCUUAAAGUGCUGAGAUAAUCCCCAGCCCUAAGUUAAUUGUUUUUAUUGCAUUGCUUACAAUGUAUAGAUUGAAAUAUCACAUUGUACUCUAUAAAUAUUAUAUGUCAGUUGAAAGGAAAACAACUUUUAAAAAGAAAACUCAAGAAGUAGCAUAUUAUUGCAAGACCAUACAAUAAGAGAAAUUUUUUCAAAUUAACUUUUCAAAUACUCCUAGAUCCUAAGACAAUAUUGGGAAACCUCCUGGUACUUAAUGAACUCUCUGAAUCUUGGAUGAACCCAAAGUACUUUAGCAUAUCUCUUAUAACGCAAAUUUCCUAUGAAGAAGUGACCAUGUUGUUAUAAGGUUAUUGUGGAGAACAGCUAAACCUGGAGAUCAUUCACAUAUGUGGAACACCUAAGGUCAGCAAUACCAAAAACUGUUCCAGCUCCAAGAACACAGAGAACUGGAAGCAAUCCAGACAGGUUGCUACGUGGAGGGAUGCCCCUGACAUCAACCUGCUGAAUGUAUAAAUAAAUGUGCUACAGUCAUUGAGCAGUUCCUUUCACUCAUCCAGAGAGAGGACUCCACCUGAUCUCAGCUUUCUGUUUCCUGAUUCAUGUCUUUAUUUCUUAAUCCUCUAUCACCCUUCACUCCAAGAAUUUUGAGAGCUGCACUGAAUGUGGCAUAUUGGUGUCUGAACACGGACUUGGAGUAUGAAGAAAUAGCGGGUAAUGGAACACCUCUGAAAGAGUGUGUAUGAACAAAAACAGGCUCAAGAGAGCAUAGAGGAAAGAGGUAUAUUGAUACUGAUUUCAUCAGGUUUAAAACACGGGAUGAUUUGUGUUGUACUCUAAGAAAAUAGCUUCCUUACAUGUGUAUUAUAGCAAACCUACAAUGUGGCUUACUAAAUGUGUUUUUUUAUCCAUUUUCCCUAACUGAUAUGUUAAGUGACCUAAUUGAUAUGUUUAGCAAUACUCUCCUCUGUAAAGAAUUGCAAGAAUCUCACCUAAUUGAUAUGUUAACCAUUGUUGCCCUCUACAAACUACAGAAAUUGUGCUAAAACAAGCUAACAAGGGUUGUUUAUCACUGUUUGGCACCUCUAUUCUCCACUAAAGAGCUAAAGAAAACUGGGAUGGCCCACUAAUUUACACUUGUUUGAAGUAACUUGCUUGUGUGCAGAGAGAUUUGCGUAUGAGUUUAACCCUUUACCUGACCUUGAUUCCUUUCCCAGAAAGGCACCUUCUCCCCUUACCUAUCUAUCUAGGCUAGGCCAUAAAGAAUUUGGGUUUCUGGUGACCUCUUCCCAACCUGGUAAUGAUCUGUCAUAAAAUGAGCCUGCCCCAAUUUUAAGAAUUGUGUAGCUUUAUAGAAAUUACCGGGAAAUACUAUGGCCCAAACCCCAAUCGGUGCUUUCCUUUUGUUCUGUAUGCAUCAAAUGAAUUAGAUAUCAGAUCUUUGUAAAACUUAAGUUUCAGCUUCUGGUAACUCUUGAAACCUUCGCACCCACUAGUGAAAAUGAGCUGUCCUGGGAUAAUUAACUCUCCACUUUCUUCUCCAAAUAUUGCUGCAGAUGUGCCACUCUGAGCUAAUGUCAGUCUGUAGGAUGGGAGUAAUAUGAGAAACACCAGGAACUCCUGAGAUUGUCAGAGCUAAGUGGACAACAAUACAGUUUCCAGAUUCGGGUCAACAAGUUUAUGGCUCUGCAGGUUUCUUUGUUUCUCCCCCCGCCCCUUUUCCUCCAGCUUCUUUUUAAAGUCCUCCCUUCAGUCUCUAGCACACAGUCUCCAAAUUAGCUCCUGGAGACUCGUCGCCAAGCCUGGAAAUAAAGCCUUUGCUACCUAAA